rnacentral:lncRNA from 1 species
UGGGGAAUGUGUUGUGCAUUUGCAAGUUAUUAAUUGGACCUCUUUGAGUGUAAAUUUAUAAAUGUUAACAUGGAAAAAACUAAGUUUAGCUAUAAGUAAUAUACGAUAAAAGUAUUAUUUUACAAAUUUUACUUCAAGAUAUUAUAUUAUGAUCAUAAACAAGCUUCUGUCCAAGUUUGGUAGAAAUCAAGGCAUAGUGCG